rnacentral:rRNA from 1 species
CCUGCCCCCUCCCCCGGGAUAGCCGCCCGAAAGGACGGGUAAUACCGGAUACCCCCGGGCGCCGCAUGGCGCCCGGGCUAAAGCCCCGACGGGAGGGGAUGGCUCCGCGGCCCAUCAGGUAGACGGCGGGGUGACGGCCCACCGUGCCGACAACGGGUAGCCGGGUUGAGAGACCGACCGGCCAGAUUGGGACUGAGACACGGCCCAGACUCCUACGGGAGGCAGCAGUGGGGAAUCUUGCGCAAUGGGGGGAACCCUGACGCAGCGACGCCGCGUGCGGGACGGAGGCCUUCGGGUCGUAAACCGCUUUCAGCAGGGAAGAGUCAAGACUGUACCUGCAGAAGAAGCCCCGGCUAACUACGUGCCAGCAGCCGCGGUAAUACGUAGGGGGCGAGCGUUAUCCGGAUUCAUUGGGCGUAAAGCGCGCGUAGGCGGCCCGGCAGGCCGGGGGUCGAAGCGGGGGGCUCAACCCCCCGAAGCCCCCGGAACCUCCGCGGCUUGGGUCCGGUAGGGGAGGGUGGAACACCCGGUGUAGCGGUGGAAUGCGCAGAUAUCGGGUGGAACACCGGUGGCGAAGGCGGCCCUCUGGGCCGAGACCGACGCUGAGGCGCGAAAGCUGGGGGAGCGAACAGGAUUAGAUACCCUGGUAGUCCCAGCCGUAAACGAUGGACGCUAGGUGUGGGGGGACGAUCUCCCCGUGCCGCAG